rnacentral:rRNA from 1 species
AAACCAGCACCUCAAGUGGUCAGCAUGAUUAUUGGGCCUAAAGCAUCCGUAGCCGGCUCUGUAAGUUUUCGGUUAAAUCUAUAUGCUCAACAUAUAGGCUGCCGGGAAUACUGCACAGCUAGGGAGUGGGAGAGGUAGACGGUACUCGGUAGGAAGGGGUAAAAUCCUUUGAUCUAUUGAGGACCACCUGUGGCGAAGGCGGUCUACCAGAACACGUUCGACGGUGAGGGAUGAAAGCUGGGGGAGCAAACCGGAUUAGAAACCCGGGUAGUCC